rnacentral:lncRNA from 1 species
UAUGCUUAGAGCUCCAAUUAUCAUAAAUUAGACAAAUUAAACCAAGUGCUUUAGCCAACUCUUCUUUAUCAUGAGCUCUCUCUCUCUUUCAUAAUACAUUAGGACAUCCCUAGUAGCUGUCUGUCUACUUAUAUUCUUAAAAUUAGGACUAGCAUCACUCUUCAUGUAUCUAAAUCCCAGUUCUUUGAUUGUCCUAAAUAAAUGCUUGCC